rnacentral:tRNA from 1 species
GGUGCUGUAGCCAAGUGGUAAGGUCCGAAGCUGCAACCUUCGUAUUCGCUGGUUCGAAUCCAGUCAGCACCUCCA